GGGACACGUGGUAUCCUGUCUGAAUAUGGGGGGACCAUCCUCCAAGGCUAAAUACUCCUGACUGACCGAUAGUGAACCAGUACCGUGAGGGAAAGGCGAAAAGAACCCCGGCGAGGGGAGUGAAAAAGAACCUGAAACCGUGUACGUACAAGCAGUGGGAGCACGCUUAGGCGUGUGACUGCGUACCUUUUGUAUAAUGGGUCAGCGACUUAUAUUCUGUAGCAAGGUUAACCGAAUAGGGGAGCCGAAGGGAAACCGAGUCUUAACUGGGCGUUAAGUUGCAGGGUAUAGACCCGAAACCCGGUGAUCUAGCCAUGGGCAGGUUGAAGGUUGGGUAACACUAACUGGAGGACCGAACCGACUAAUGUUGAAAAAUUAGCGGAUGACUUGUGGCUGGGGGUGAAAGGCCAAUCAAACCGGGAGAUAGCUGGUUCUCCCCGAAAGCUAUUUAGGUAGCGCCUCGUGAAUUCAUCUCCGGGGGUAGAGCACUGUUUCGGCAAGGGGGUCAUCCCGACUUACCAACCCGAUGCAAACUGCGAAUACCGGAGAAUGUUAUCACGGGAGACACACGGCGGGUGCUAACGUCCGUCGUGAAGAGGGAAACAACCCAGACCGCCAGCUAAGGUCCCAAAGUCAUGGUUAAGUGGGAAACGAUGUGGGAAGGCCCAGACAGCCAGGAUGUUGGCUUAGAAGCAGCCAUCAUUUAAAGAAAGCGUAAUAGCUCACUGGUCGAGUCGGCCUGCGCGGAAGAUGUAACG
rnacentral:rRNA from 1 species